rnacentral:tRNA from 1 species
GCGCCCUUAGCUCAGUUGGAUNNACGGCCUUCUAAGCCGUAGGUCAUAGGUUCGAAUCCUAUAGGGCGUGCCA